GGCAAAUUGAUGACGAGCCAAUUACCCAAAGCGCAUUAUUCCACUGAUUCUAAUGUGAUGGAAGGCUAUAUUAUUAUAGCCUUUGUGGUUUUCAAUCCGAAACAUCU